ACCUGGGUGGCUCAGUUGGUUAAGCAUCUGACUCUUGAUUUCAACUCAGGUCAUGAUCUCAUGGUUCGUGAGUUUGAAUCUCACAUCGGGUU
rnacentral:tRNA from 1 species